GAUGAACGCUAGCUACAGGCUUAACACAUGCAAGUCGAGGGGCAGCAUGAUCAAAGCUUGCUUUGAUUGAUGGCGACCGGCGCACGGGUGAGUAACGCGUAGACAACCUGCCGCAAAGAUGGGGACAACAGUCCGAAAGGACUGCUAAUACCGAAUGUUGUCAAGUUUCCGCAUGGGAGCUUGAUUAAAGAUGGCCUCUACUUGUAAGCUAUCGCUUUGCGAUGGGUCUGCGUCUGAUUAGCUAGUUGGUGAGGUAAAAGCUCACCAAGGCGACGAUCGGUAGCCGAUCUGAGAGGAUGACCGGCCACAUUGGGACUGAGACACGGCCCAGACUCC
rnacentral:rRNA from 1 species